rnacentral:rRNA from 1 species
AUGUGUAUCCCUGAAAGUGAAGGAGGCAUGGGAUUCCGUGAUCUGCACUAUUUUAAUAAAGCCAUGCUCGCUAAACAGUGUUGGCGGUUAUUAUCUGAUCCAGAAUCCUUAUGUGCCCAAGUUUUACGAGCCAAGUACUACACAGAUGGGGACUUGAUGAAUGCUACCUUGAAAAAGGUGUCACCAUAUACAUGGCAAAGUAUCAUGGCUGGUAUGAAAACUUUUAAACAGGAGCAAUCUGGCGACCUGGGGAUGGUGCAUGUAUUAACAUUUGGAAGGACCAGUGGGUCCGUACAAGCCAUGAUCGGAAGGUAA